UCCAGCAUAGGUCAUGAUUCUUUAUGUGAUUCUUCUAAUUUGAAGAGCACUUGUCAACAAGAAUCUGGUGCGGUAACUGCUCAUACUUCUGAUCCAGUUCCACCAUUGCCUGUGAUUUCGUCAGUUUCACAGUAUAGUACUCCUCCCACUGCACUUAAGCCAGGUAGAGGACGGGGACGCAAGGCUCAAACUGGAAGUGAGGCUCCACGGCGCAGGGGGAAGAGACAGGAUUUGGACACUGCAGCUGUUACUGAAGGGUUAAGUGUUCAGGAUCCAAAAUUAAUUGAACCCCCACAAAAGAGAACCAGGUUAUCCGUAGGGAGGAAGCCCACUACAAGAAGCAAGCGUGAGAAUGAAUCUCAACAAGUAGUAGACCAAUCGGUUGCAUCUCAAAAGACUCCAGAUUUUGCUGAUGGAGAAAUCCCUAAGAAUAUGGUUUCUAGUGAAGUUAAUCCACAUAACAGUGCAAUCAACAGAGAUGAAUCUCAAUCCCAUGCUAUUCCGGUUCCUAGUCAAAUGAAUGAUAAUCUAAAUGGCGACGUUGCUACUGCUGAAGAGGAUCUCGAUGAUGCUCAGCAAAAGGAGAAUGUGGUCCAAUCUGUUACAUCUCAAAGUUGCUCUAGUCCUCAUGUUGAGCCACAGAUUAACACGGUCAACACUGAUAAUUCUCCUUCCCAGGAACAAACAGCUAUUGUCCAGUCAGAUGCUUCACAAAAGAUUCCAUAUCCUGGCACAGGACAAAUCCCUCAAGCGAUGGCGUGUUCUGAAGUUGAGCUACAUCGCAAUGCUAUCAAAUCCGACAUAUCACAAUCCAGUGGUGAUGUUGCUAGUUGUGAAGUUGCCGCAACAAAGGAAGUUCUUAGUGAGGAUCAACAAACAAUGAAGGUUCAGUCAGCUGCAUCUCAAACGCCUUCAGUUCACUCUGUUGGGAAAAUUCCUGAAGAUAUUGGUGAGGUUGCCACGACAAAGGAAGUUCUCACUGAGGAUCAACAAACAAUGGAAGUUCAGUCACCAGCAUCUCAGACACGUUCAGUUCACUCUGUUGGGAAGAUGCCUGAAGAUAUAGUGAGUAAUGAAGUUCUGCCACAGUGUGAUGCUAUACAAACAGAUGCAUCUCAAUCCCAUGUCACUCUUGCCUCUUCAGGAUCAAUGGCUCCGGUUAUUGAUUGCCCGGUUGAAAAAAGUGAAAGUGAUUCUAAGGGUGACGAUGGUGAAAAGACUGAGACUAAUUCUAUAGAUGGGUCAAACAUGGAAGUCCCCGUUGGAGCUUUGGAGCUUACAUCAUCUGAUGAUCUGAACAAGAGUGGAGAUGCAGAAGGGAAAACUAGCAGCAGUUUAAGUGGGGUCCUUCCCACAAGUUCUGAGUUAGUUCCCCGUCCAAGCGCAAAUACAGAGGUAUAUCUGGGUUCCGUAGGCUCCGGGAAAGUAAGUUUUAAUUCAGGUUCAACUCAAAGCCUGUCUGAAUGUGUGUCCGCAAAAACUGAUGUUGAACAGUUAAAGACUGAGGAUUGUCCUCUGGAUAAAUCAUUUGUUUCUAAAGCUGAGGGAGGCAGCACUGAGCAUCUCGCUGGUGGCAUACUUGGAAAAGAACAGGAAACCGGAGUCACCAUGGAGGAGACUGUUGUUUCACCUGCUGUGGAGACUGACAAUCUGAACAUGAAGGGAAUUACAUCAUUUGCUUCUUCAUCUACUGUGGCAGAAUCUUUAGUGGAUGAACCUCCAGUAUGUGGAUCUUAUGAACAAGGUGAGGACAAACUUGAAAAAGCAGCAGAAGGAACACAUUCCGAUAAAGGUGCAAUGGCCGAGGUUUCUGAACAAGAUAAGUUAUCAGUUAACGUGUCAUUGGAGACUACUAAAGGCUUAAGUAGGGUGGAGAAAGAAAAGUAUAGAAUUCCAGAAACUUUUGAGAAGCAAGUUAAUGUUGCUGAAUCCCUAACAGAAGAAUGUGGAAAAGAUCUUGCAGCACAUGGUCCAGAAAUGAAAGAUUCUGAUGUAAGUGAGGUUGCGCCAAGCCCUAGAAACGAGUCCCAAUCCAGUUUCACUGUUGGAACAUCUCAAAGAACUUUUGAGGAGCAAGUUAAUGUUGAUGAAUCCCUAACAGGAGAAUGUGGAGGUGAUCUUGCAGCAGACAGUCCCGAAAUAAAAGAUUCUGAUGUAAGUGAGGUUGCGCCAAGCCCUAGAAACGAGUCCCAAUCCAGUUUCACUGUUGGAACAUCUCAAAG
rnacentral:misc_RNA from 1 species